GGGUCAGUAGGUUGGUCGUGCCACCGGUACGUACUGGUCUCACUGAUUCCUCCUUCCUGAAGAACCGUAAUGCCAUUAAUUUGGUGUUGCGGGGAAACAGGACUGUUACUUUGAAAAAAUUAGAGUGUUUAAAGCAAGCUAACGCUUGAAUACAUUAGCAUGGAACAAUGAAAUAGGACGAUCGAUCCUAUUUUGUAGGUUUCUAGGAUUGACGUA
rnacentral:rRNA from 1 species